rnacentral:lncRNA from 1 species
AGUUGAUACUAAAGUUAAGUUGAGAGUAAGGUUGGACUAAAAAAUCCUUAGAAUAGGAUAGAUUGAUACCUAGGGGUCGACCGUUUGUGAGACAGUGUCAAAAUCAAACCUCUGGCCACUAAAACAACGGCCUAGGGAAAAUAGGAUUUCAUUUGAAGCUUGGAGGUUAGGAAUUGAGAGCUAGCUUGAAUUUCUUUUGAGAGAGAUAAGAAUUGUUUUGAGAGGAUUUUAGAGGACUUAGCAAUUAUUGUUCAAAAUCAGGGUUUGUAUCAGUGAUUUGGAUUUUAUAUAAUAUAAUUAGGGCUAACAAUUUUGGCUAGUUCGUGUAAUUGGCAUGACAUCUACAAUUGAAAAUUUGAUAUUUUUUGGAUUAUUGGGUGUGCUAAGUGUAUACAAAAUCUUGUGAUAAUCUAACGGCGUGGUUUAGAGAUAUCUAGUUUUUAGCAGAAGAGGGUUUCAGAAGAUGGCAAUUUGAGGUUGGAUAGGGUUUCUAUGAUAUCUGAAGAUCUAUCAGUCGGAUUAAGGUGAAAAUUGACAUGGUGUUGGAGGA